rnacentral:rRNA from 1 species
AGUAUGUGCUCGCCUCGCUCAUCCACUCUACACCUGUGCACUAUCUGUGGGCUGGGGUUAACGCCUUGGGCUACGUCUUUCACACAAACAAUAUGUAUCAGAAUGUAACACCGCGUCUAACGCAAUAAUACAACUUUCAACAACGGAUCUCUUGGCUCUCGCAUCGAUGAAGAACGCAGCGAAAUGCGAUAAGUAAUGUGAAUUGCAGAAUUCAGUGAAUCAUCGAAUCUUUGAACGCACCUUGCGCUCCUUGGUAUUCCGAGGAGCAUGCCUGUUUGAGCGUCGUGAAUCUCUCAACCCACAAAUUGUUUGUUCAGUUUGUGCGGCUUGGACUUGGAGGCAUUGCUGGCGAUGGUCAGCUCCUCUCAAAUGUAUUAGCUGGGCUUAGCUCGGUGGAACGGUUAGUGUGAUAAUUAUCUGCGCUGCCUACUACAUCGGAUCCCGCAUCUAAUCGUCCGCAAGGACAAUUCACUUUGAAUCUGACCUCAAAUCAGGUAGGACUACCCGCUGAACUUAAGCAUAUCAAUAAGCGGAGGAAAAGAAACUAACAAGGAUUCCCCUAGUAACUGCGAGUGAAGCGGGAAAAGCUCAAAUUUAAAAUCUGGCGGUCUUUGGCCGUCCGAGUUGUAAUCUAGAGAAGCGUCUUCCGCGC